rnacentral:tRNA from 3 species
GGGGCCAUAGCUCAGUUGGUAGAGCGCCACAAUGGCAUUGUGGAGGUCGCCGGUUCGAAUCCGGCUGGCUCCACCA